UUUCAUGCCAGCUGUGGAGGGAAAACGAGCUGUUACCAGAGUAGAAAAGGCUGCGCGUUGCGUGAUAAAACCAAGAUUAGGGGACAAAGUCUCACCCCAGUUAUCCUCAGUACACCUUCAAUGGCAGCAAAGACAAAGUAGAGAA